AAGCCAACAAAAAUCCAAUGAGGAGACAGGUUCAGACUCCCUCAAGGCCUUCCAGACCCCUAAGCAGUAUAACACGUGUUGUCAGAAGAGGAUCAGAGACUCCCGGAGCCGAUGCGAAUGGAAGUUCUUUUGAUUUCACAACAAAGCUGCUGCACCUUGCAUGGAACCCGAUUGAAAACUUGAUUGCCUGUGCUGCUGCAAACAGCUUAUACUUGUACUAUGCAUAAAGCUGAUCCAAGAAGUGCACUUGCUUGGUAUAACUUUUUCCUUUUUAGGUUGUUGACGGUGGAAGUUCCUUUCCCGUUCCCUCCAAGCAGCGACAUAA